CCCUUAGAUGUCCUGGGCCGCACGCGCGCUACACUGACAUGUUCAACAAGUUUCUCCUAGUUCGACAGGACUGGGAAAUCUUUGAACGCAUGUCGUGAUAGGGAUAGAUCAUUGCAAUUAUUGAUCUUGAACGAGGAAUUCCUAGUAAACGCGAGUCGUCAGCUCGCAUUGAUUACGUCCCUGCCCUUUGUACACACCGCCCGUCGCACCUACCGAUUGAAUGUUUCGGUGAAGAUUCCGGAUAGGACUGAUUUGAUUUAUUUCAUUUCUGACCUAAAAGCUAUCUAAACCUCAACAUUUAGAGGAAGGUGAAGUCGUAACA
rnacentral:rRNA from 1 species